rnacentral:rRNA from 1 species
AUGAUCAAUGAUCGUAUCAGCCAACCAACAUUUGUAAGUCGAGAGAGUGGAGCUGGCAAGGCAGAAAGCACUAGAAGUCGUAUGCAGUAUCUUGCUUUUAUGGGCGGUAAACCUCAAGCUGAGGGAACGUCAGUGCAACAACAAAUUCUAGAGUCAAAUCCUGUGAUCGAGGCAUUUGGCAAUGCAAAGUUAGGAAUAAUAAUUCUAGAACGGGAAGAUUUCCAUCACGACUUAUCUUUCUGGAAAGGUCACGUGUUUGUCAAAUAUCUAACCCAGAAAGGAACCACCACUGCUUAUCCAUGCUGUGUGCUGCACCACCAGAAGAAUUGUCUACAACACUCACUAAGUCUGAAACAUACCUAUUCCGGACUGUAA